GUGGCUGUGAAGCUGAGAGGGAAGGAGGCUGGAGGAGUUUGGGGGCACAGGGGCUCCAUGGGGCGGCUCUUGUGCCUCCUUGGGGUGACUGCCCUCUUUCUCAUCGGGGCCUCUGGAGACGCCCUUCCCCCUGGUCCCUCUCCUCAGGCUGCAAACGGUGGCUCCUCACAUGUCCUACGCUAUUAUGCCACAUCUGUGUUAGAGCCUGGCCAGCAGGUGCCUCAUUUUGCCUCGGUGGGAUAUGUCAAUGACCAGCAGAUUGUUUACUAUGAUAUUGAAACAAAGAGACGUCGUCCUAAAAAUGAUUGGAUCACAAAGUCAGUCGAGCAUGAUCCUCAAUACUGGGAGUGGACCACACAGAGAGUUCAGAAUGCUGAGCAGUGGUUCCGAGCAGUUCUGGUGAAUGUGCCCAAGUAUUUCAAUCAGACUGGAGGGCUUCACACCUGGCAGGAGAUGGUUUGCUGUGAGCUGAGGAAAGAUGGGAGCAAAGGAGGGUAUUGGCAGUAUGCCUAUGAUGGGGAGGACUACAUCAGCCUGGACAAGGAGACCCUCACCUGGACAGCAGCCAGUCUGCCAGCCCAGAACACCAAGAGAAAGUGGGAUCCUAACACAGCAUUCAACCAGUUCACAAAGAACUAUUUGGAGGAGGAGUGCAUUGAGUGGCUGCGGAGAUACCUGGAGUACGGGAAGAAGGCACUGCUGAGGACAGAUCCCCCAAAAGUGAAGGUAACACGCAAGGCAGAUUAUGACAAUAUGGAAACCCUGAUCUGUCGGGUUGAUGGCUUCUACCCAAAGGAUAUUGAUAUUGCCUGGACAAAGGAUGGAGAGGUCUGGAUGGAAGAUACCUUCAGUGGACUUGUGUCCCCCAACUCAGAUGGGACAUAUUACACCUGGCUGAGCAUCAAAAUUGAUCCCAAGGACAGGGAACGCUACAAAUGCCGUGUGGAGCAUGAUGGACUUCCAGAACAUGUGGACUUGGCCUGGGAGGAGCCUGCUUCCAGAUUGGGGGCCAUCAUCGUGUAUGUUGUGUUGCUAUGUUCCUGAUUGCUGGGAUUGCUGGGAUUAUCUGGAUUACUAAGUAUAUCAUGAGUAACCAAAGAUCCAACAGCUCUGGCAGAGGGAGCACUGCGCCCAUUUAGCAACCCAAAAGCAGGUAAAUGGUUAAUGGGGAGUGUGUGUGAGAAGGUCAAGCCUUGAGAUAAAGGAUCCAAUGGCCAGUUCUUACUUUGGGGCAAUUUUUUUCUCCCAACUUUAUGCUGGAAAUCUCAGUAAUUGAAGUUCAGGGGGAGGAGAAGAGUGCUGUGGCAGACAGAGGGAAGAUGAACAUUCAUGAUACUUGGAGGAUAUCCAGUAAAAUCCUCAAGAAAAAAGGAGACAGGCUUCCAGAUGGUAGAAGAUAAUCUUAAUUAGUUGUAACCCUUGAAAAAGGACAACUGAAUAUGGGUUGAGACACUUUGUAUUAACUGACAAAGACAAUCUUGCAGCAUCUUGAGAUGUGUCUGCCUUUUCUCUGUGGUAUUCAAAAUACUUGCCACUCUGUCUUCCUGGCCCUGUACCAUUUGAACCAAUGGGCUGCUCUGCUGCUCCUCCUCCUCACUGCUAUCCCUGCUGGACAAGGUUGUGCCACUUCCAUCUUGGGCACUUGGGCACUAGGAAGAGGAAAUGGUCACAGUGAGAGAGUCAGUGAUUUUCCAGAGAAAGAGGGUGCUCUGGCUGCAGGAGAUGGGAAGCCCUUUCUUUCACUGCUUGCUCACUUCAUUUUGCUAGGAAAGAAACAACCCUCCAUCCUAAGCACCUGGACUUUUUUGUGCAUAUUAGAUUAUUAGCCAGCCAAUAAAUUAUUCCAACUUCUAGUCCUGGAAUCUCUGACAGACAUAGGCAGUUUAUCUUAAUCUCUUUGUCCAGGUUGAGUAUCCCUUAUCUGGAAUCCAAAAUCCUUCAGAAUCCAAAAUUGUCCACCUGGGAGGCUGAGAUGGUGACACUUUUGCUUUCUGAUGGUUCUGUGUAAACAAAUUUUGUUUCACGCAGAUAUAUAUAAUCUCC